rnacentral:rRNA from 1 species
UACGUAGGGGGCAAGCGUUGUCCGGAAUUAUUGGGCGUAAAGAGCUCGUAGGCGGUCUGUCGCGUCUGCUGUGAAAACUCAGGGCUUAACCCUGAGCUUGCAGUGGGUACGGGCAGACUAGAGUGCGGUAGGGGAGACUGGAAUUACUGGUGUAGCGGUGAAAUGCGCAGAUAUCAGGAGGAACACCUAUGGCGAAGGCAGCUCGCUGGGACGGUAUUGACGCUGAGACGCGAAAGCGUGGGGAGCGAACAGG